rnacentral:rRNA from 1 species
AGUGAACGCUGGCGGUAGGCCUAACACAUGCAAGUCGAACGGCAGCACAGAGGAGCUUGCUCCUUGGGUGGCGAGUGGCGGACGGGUGAGGAAUACAUCGGAAUCUACUCUGUCGUGGGGGAUAACGUAGGGAAACUUACGCUAAUACCGCAUACGACCUACGGGUGAAAGCAGGGGAUCUUCGGACCUUGCGCGAUUGAAUGAGCCGAUGUGGGAUUAGCUAGGUGGCGGGGUAAAGGCCCACCAAGGCGACGAUCCGUAGCUGGUCGGAGAGGAUGAUCAGCCACACUGGAACUGAGACACGGUCCAGACUCCUACGGGAGGCAGCAGUGGGGAAUAUUGGACAAUGGGCGCAAGCCUGAUCCAGCCAUACCGCGUGGGUGAAGAAGGCCUUCGGGUUGUAAAGCCCUUUUGUUGGGAAAGAAAUCCAUCUGGUUAAUACCCGGGUGGGAUGACGGUACCCAAAGAAUAAGCACCGGCUAACUUCGUGCCAGCCGCCGCAGUAA